GGGAGGAGGAUGUACAGAGCUGGCCAGGCCCCAUUCAGUAGGAGAGGUGACUGGAUCCCAUCUGGUAGAACCCCGUGGAGAGGCACCUGGGUACCGUCCUGUAGGACCUUGUAGAGAGAUGACUGGGCCCAUCUCAUAGCCUCCUGUAGAGAAGCGAGUGGUUCAUCUGCAGGACCUUGCAGCAAGGUGACAGCCCUGUCCUGAGACUCCUGUAGAGAGGACUCGGGAUUUUACUCUGAGAAACAGCUGAAGAGCAAUGCGGUCUGUGGUGUGUUUAACAGCAUCCCUCCGUGUGCAGAGGUGAUCGUGUGGGAGAGGAAGCCAGAAGACAAGCAGGGAGCAAGCCCAGAAGCACCUGCGCAGGCCGAGUCUGUGGAGGUUAGGACCGGGAACUCAGAUGGAGCUGCUCCAUGGGCCGCAAAGUGCGGCCCCAAAAGACAUUGCUCAGCAGCGAAGCCAGAACCGACGGCUACAGGGAGUGGAAAGAUGCACCAUCGUUAUGAAGGGCUAAGCAGAG